GACGAACGCUGGCGGCGUGCCUAAUACAUGCAAGUUGAGCGAUGAAGAUUGGUGCUUGCACCAAUUUGAAGAGCAGCGAACGGGUGAGUAACGCGUGGGGAAUCUGCCUUUGAGCGGGGGACAACAUUUGGAAACGAAUGCUAAUACCGCAUAAUAACUUUAAACAUAAGUUUUAAGUUUGAAAGAUGCAAUUGCAUCACUCAAAGAUGAUCCCGCGUUGUAUUAGCUAGUUGGUGAGGUAAAGGCUCACCAAGGCGAUGAUACAUAGCCGACCUGAGAGGGUGAUCGGCCACAUUGGGACUGAGACACGGCCCAAACUCCUACGGGAGGCAGCAGUAGGGAAUCUUCGGAAAUGGACGAAAGUCUGACCGAGCAACGCCGCGUGAGUGAAGAAGGGUGUCGGAUCGUAAAACUCUGUUGGUAGAGAAGAACGUUGGUGAGAGUGGAAAGCUCAUCAAGUGACGGUAACUACCCAGAAAGGGACGGCUAACUACGUG
rnacentral:rRNA from 1 species